UCGUGUAUUGUGGAAUGAUGCAAGAGUACUUUAAUACCUCAUAGGCUAGAAAUCUGCAGAAUAAAUGGACAGAUUUAGUGACGCAUGUCAAAGAUACUUAAACAAGUACCAAAGAAGAAAAAAGAGCCUGAGUCAACUCAUUCCUAAACUCAGCUGUGGCCCUGUGGAAAAAAUUCACCCACUCUUCCAUUAGAUAUGAACCAGUAUGGUACACAUUUUAAGUAGUUCAUUAGAGUUGCAAUUCCUUUUUUUUUUUAUUGUUACUUGUUAUAGUUAAGUACCACCCUGUUGGGAUUCUUAUUUUACUCAUUAUUUGUUAAAGUUGUUAAAGGCACCCCAAAAACGGGAGGGAGGACGACCUAGGGGUUUCCUAUUUCUGUUUUGCUUUGUUUUUUAAGUUGUUACUACUUAUUUUCUAUUGGCUGAAAGGUUUUCCUAAGGCCUAUAUGAUUCAGGUCUACUAGUAGUCUAUUUAAGCACUUGUAAGGCUCAAAGAGCCCACUGUUUUUUGAAUAAAAAGAAUGUCUAGUUGCCUCAAUCAAAUUCUGCAGUGAUUCAGAUUCAAGUUGCCGUGGUGAUUCAGUAACAGGGUUUGUGGUGAUUCCAUAGUACAUAUCCUUUCUUAUUCCAUCUGCUUCAGUUCACAGAUAUUUGGAUCUCCAGUUAUGAAGUUUAUUGUUGUCCUGCUGAAUCAAGGAAGGCAAUGAGAUUUGUUCAUUUUGCCGCUUACAUGAGGAUGCCUUAAAUACAUUGUCCUAACUUGAGGUGGGAAUGAUUUGAAGCCUCGAAGCUAGAAUUCUUUUUAUUAGUUUAUGAAUUUAAAUAUUAGCUGUAUUGAGGUCUACUUUUGGCAAGAUUAAUACAUUGCUCACCGUUUAUUUGGUUCAAUGUUGUAGCAAUGAUUUUUUCCUAUUUAAGUGAGAGAAUGUAAUGUUUUCAUUAUUCAUGGUUAUAAUUCAAUCAUCGUAUGAGUAGUAAAUUAAAA